GCCGUCGUGGCGCAAUGGUAGCGCAUCACCUUCCUACGGAGGCAGGUGGGGGUUGCGGGUUCGACCCCCGUCGACGGUA